GAUGAACGCUGGCGGCGUGCCUAAUACAUGCAAGUCGAGCGAACAGACGAGGAGCUUGCUCCUUUGACGUUAGCGGCGGACGGGUGAGUAACACGUGGAUAACCCACCUAUAAGACUGGGAUAACUUCGGGAAACCGGAGCUAAUACCGGAUAACAUGUUGAACCGUAUGGUUCAACAGUGAAAGACGGUCUUGCUGUCACUUAUAGAUGGAUCCGCGCCGCGUUAGCUAGUCGGUAAGGUAACGGCUUACCAAGGCAACGAUGCGUAGCCGACCUGAGAGGGUGAUCGGCCACACUGGAACUGAGACACGGUCCAGACUCCUACGGGAGGCAGCAGUAGGGAAUCUUCCGCAAUGGGCGAGAGCCUGACGGAGCAACGCCGCGUGAGUGAAGAAGGUCUUCGGAUCGUAAAGCUCUGUUAUUAGGGAAGAACAAAUGUGUAAGUAACUAUGCACGUCUUGACGGUACCUAAUCAGAAAGCCACGGCUAACUACGUG
rnacentral:rRNA from 1 species